AUUGAACGCUGGCGGCAUGCCUUACACAUGCAAGUCGAACGGCAGCGCGGGGCAACCUGGCGGCGAGUGGCGAACGGGUGAGUAAUAUAUCGGAACAUACCCUAGAGUGGGGAUAACGUAGUGAAGUUACGCUAAUACCGCAUACGCACUAAGGUGGAAAGUGGGGGAUUCGCAAGAACCUCAUGCUCAUGGAGUGGCCGAUAUCUGAUUAGCUAGUUGGUGAGGUAAAGGCUCACCAAGGCGACGAUCAGUGGCUGGUUUGAGAGAACGACCAGCCACACUGGAACUGAGACACGGUCCAGACUCCUACGGGAGGCAGCAGUGGGGAAUUUUGGACAAUGGGGGCAACCCUGAUCCAGCAAUGCCGCGUGAGUGAAGAAGGCCUCGGUUGUAAGCUCUUUGUCUAGGGAGAAACGGUAGA
rnacentral:rRNA from 1 species